AUUGAACGCUGGCGGCAGGCCUAACACAUGCAAGUCGAGCGAGCGGCGGACGGGUGAGUAAUGUCUGGGAAUCUGCCUGAUGGAGGGGGAUAACUACUGGAAACGGUAGCUAAUACCGCAUACCAUCGGAUGUACCCAUAUGGGUUUAGCUAGUAGGUGGGGUAAUGGCUCACCUAGGCGACGAUCCCUAGCUGGUCUGAGAGGAUGACCAGCCACACUGGAACUGAGACACGGCCCAGACUCCUACGGGAGGCAGCAGUGGGGAAUAUUGCACAAUGGGCGCAAGCCUGAUGCAGCCAUGCCGCGUGUGUGAAGAAGGCCUUAGGGUUGUAAAGCACUUUCAGCGGGGAGGCGUUACCCGCAGAAGAAGCACCGGCUAACUCCGUGCCAGCAGCCGCGGUAAUAC
rnacentral:rRNA from 1 species